rnacentral:rRNA from 1 species
GGACGGGUGAGUAACACGUGGGAACGUGCCCUUUGGUACGGAAUAACUCAGGGAAACUUGAGCUAAUACCGUAUGUGCCCUUCGGGGGAAAGAUUUAUCGCCAUUGGAGCGGCCCGCGUCUGAUUAGCUAGUUGGUGAAGUAACGGCUCACCAAGGCGACGAUCAGUAGCUGGUCUGAGAGGAUGACCAGCCACAUUGGGACUGAGACACGGCCCAAACUCCUACGGGAGGCAGCAGUGGGGAAUCUUGCGCAAUGGGCGAAAGCCUGACGCAGCCAUGCCGCGUGGAUGAUGAAGGUCUUAGGAUUGUAAAAUCCUUUCACCGGUGAAGAUAAUGACUGUAGCCGGAGAAGAAGCCCCGGCUAACUUCGUGCCAGCAGCCGCGGUAAUACGAAGGGGGCUAGCGUUGCUCGGAAUUACUGGGCGUAAAGGGCGCGUAGGCGGACAUUUAAGUCAGGGGUGAAAUCCCAGAGCUCAACUCUGGAACUGCCUUUGAUACUGGAUGUCUUGAGUGUGAGAGAGGUAUGUGGAACUCCGAGUGUAGAGGUGAAAUUCGUAGAUAUUCGGAAGAACACCAGUGGCGAAGGCGACAUACUGGCUCAUUACUGACGCUGAGGCGCGAAAGCGUGGGGAGCAAACAGGAUUAGAUACCCUGGUAGUCCAC